ACCCUUCACCACGGUAUAGUCAGCGACUGGGGUGAAGUCGUAACAAGGUAGCCGUAGGGGAACCUGCGGCUGGAUUACCUCCUUUCUAAGGAUGAAUGAAAGUAAAAUUUCAUUCUAAAUAAUAUACAUCGGUAAUGUUGACCGUCCUCAUUUCUCUUCUUAAAGUAAUGUUUCCUUCUUGUAGGGCCGGUAGCUCAGUUGGUUAGAGCACACCCUUGAUAAGGGUGGGGUCGAAAGUUCGAGUCUUUCUCGGCCCACCAUACUUAACUGGGGGAUUAGCUCAGCUGGGAGAGCGCCUGAUUUGCAUUCAGGAGGUCAGCGGUUCGAUCCCGCUAUCCUCCACCAGGAAACAUUUAGUUAUAAAAACUGUGAAUAAAUUUAAUAAUUAAUAUCAAUAUCUAUAUCCGAACAUUAGUAAUGUUAUUAGCUAAUGUUCAAAAUAAAAAUUUGAUUCAACACAGAAUUUUUUUCUGUGCAUAAAUCAAGCGUUUAAGGGCGUGUAGUGGAUGCCUUGGCACUGAAAGCCGAUGAAGGACGUGAUAUACUGCGAUAAGUUUCGGGGAGCUGUAUGUAAGUUUUGAUCCGAAAAUUU
rnacentral:misc_RNA from 1 species